CUUGGAUGUUUCAUUUGAUCUUGGAUGUAGUAAGCGAGGUACGAAGAACGGACCCCUGGUGACGCAUCAUUGUAGAUGCAGUGAAGGCACCAAACAGGCUAGGACCGCCCCCCGGAACAGCUAUAAGCAAGGCUGUCCUGAGAGGCUGCAAUAGGAACCACAGGAGCUCUGCAACAGAGGGAGAAGCAGUUACUGGCAGGUGAAGGACUGGGUCCACCUCUGUACUCUGCAGCAGAAAAAACUGGAAUCCUGUUCUUGGUGUCGUACAGUGUCACAAACCUCCUGAUGUUUCUCAAAGUCUGGCAGAUCACUUUGUACCUGUUCUGGUCAAGGGUGUUCCCUCCCUCCAAAAUUCCUGGGAUGUUUGGUGGAAUUUGCUGCAGAAAAAACUCAUUACAGUCUUCCACUGAUGUCACCACUCGAGAAUCUGUGGGAACGAUGGACAGAAGGAGGAGAGCAGCGAGGGGCAGGAGCUGCUUCAGUAAUGACAUCGCCUCACCCUGCUUCAUCUGGUCAGAGGAGAAACCAAAAAGAAUUAUAAAUAAUUACACGUAAAAGCAAAUAUUUUGGAUUUUACUUAUCUUCUGUCUUAUAUAUAAAAUUCAAAUGGUUAAAA